UUGGCGCUCUAAAUUCCCCGAAAUUCAAACGAAAAUUUCAUUAAAAUCCUUCUCCCUCCCCUGGAACUUUAGCCGCACUUUUGGUUAUAGUUUUUCUCCUUCGUUUUUUCCGACUUUAGCUUGUAACAAAACCCAAAACUUUAGCUUAAUGGGAAGAAACUUUAACUUGUAAUAUAAUUCUCUUACCAAAAUCAAAAACCCAAAACUUCUCAGUGUUUAAUCUACCCUAAACCAAAACCCAUCUUGGAAUCAUUCAUUUGAAUGAUUUUUGUUCGACAAAACAAAAAUCAUCUACAACGACAGCAACAAGUUUCUUCCCAUUGAAACAAACCCACAAAAGAGAUUGAUUUUCCAGUCAAAUCUUUAACCCGAUUUGCAAUCUGGCUUCAGAUCAGUGUGUUGUAAAUCUGCAUCACCCAUAAAAGGUUUUCGUAGUCAAAUCAUUUGCAAAUUACAACUUUUCGAUCUAAUGGAGGAAAUCAGAGUUUAUCCCAUUGUAACUGUUAAAUUCCAUUAAUCCGUCCUGGGGUCUGGUUCAUUUGAAGGAAUUGGAUGUUUGGGUAUCCAUCAGCAGCUGAGGUUAAUCACCAGUAUAGCGUAAUUUUCCUCUUGUCUCCCCCACCCCCACCCACCUUGUUUGAUGUUAGUAAUCAUUGUGAUAUGCGUAACCUGUUUGAGAUAAUGUCUCAUUGCGAACGUUUAAGAGUUGAAUGCAAAAAAUAUACGUAGGUGCGUUUUGUACAAUCUUUCUGAUUGGUAUAGUUUGAAAUGUUAUCUGAUCGGUUUUGCAAUUUAUAAAUCUAUGACUGUAGCUACAUGGCUCCGGUGCCCAUGAUUCUACUCACCUUGAAGAGAUUUGGAACAUAUUUUGUUAAGAGAUUGAGGUCCUACUGCCUCUCAAUAUCUAGAGUUGUUUUCUUAAAAUGUCACAGCAAAGGCUAGUCCUAUUUGAAGAGUUUCAGUGGUCAGGGUUGAUGUUUGUGGCUGUACCAUUUACUGAAUGGGGAGUAGGCUAGUGCAGUUAUAGCAUCAUUAUUCAAUAUGCCAUUCUGGUCUGCCGUGUCAAAGAAUUUCAGUAUGUAUUUUUAUUGAACUAAUUUUGUAGUAUUCGGUGUUCUAUGAAUCUGUCAAUUAGCUAUGGGAAGUCAUUCAUUUUCAAUUUCAGGAUGAUGGUAUCUAAUUUGAUUUGUUAAUCUGGUCAUGGCCUCGGGUUCUUUCAGGUGGUUUUAUAGUGUUUUUUGGAGGGUUCAUAACUGAAAUAACGAGUUCUUUUUAUUCAUCUAUAGGAUAAUUCUUUCUGGAUGCUCAUCUGGUGGUUUAACUUCUAUUCUUCAUUCAGGAUGCUCAUCUGGUGGUUUAACUUCUAUUCUUCAUUGCGAGAACUUCCUUGGCAUAUUACCAAGGAGUACCAAAGUAAAAUGUCUAGCAGAUGCUGGAUGCUUUAUCAGCGCAGAUGUUCUGUUUGGGAGAACGGCAGGUCUGAUAUUGGAGGGGUACAUUGUAUUAUUAGCAGCAGUUGUAUGGCAAAUUGUACCAUGUUGAGUUCCCCUUUUGAAGCUCUGGCCAAAUGACGUCUCUUUUGAGAUUCCUUUAUUGCUUAGCGUAUCACUUGUUAGAGCCCUGUGUUGGAUAAGCAUCAUAUCAAAGACUAGGACGGUACAAGAUGCCAUAAAAAAUACCAACCUAAUGGUAUUGGAAAUCUUUGGCUGAGAACAUGAGAAAUCUGGUAGUACUGAAGCUUACGGAGCUGUUGCGGACUGUUGUACUCAACUUAACAAGCUGGGAGAUUCUGUGAUAAACACAUUACUCCAGGACUAAUGUUUUACAUUAGUGUUUCAAUAUGUGGAGAUCUUUCAGCAUUGUUAGAUGCUCUAAUUUUGUUGAUUUUGAAAGCAUUUUGUUUAACUCAGAAAGUUUGGGCGAUUAAAAACAAGUUUUGCAGAACGACAAGGACAAUGUACUUUGUGGCAUCUCAGAAAGUUUGGACAAUGCACUUUGUGAUUUAAAAUUUCAUAUAUAGUUAGUCAUUUUAUCAUAACUAAAGACAUCAAGUUAUACAUUAGAAAAAAGUGGUUCUUGUGUGUAUAACACGUACUCGGUUCCAUCUAAUUGUAUUAUUCAGUUCAUAAGUU